rfam:Physcomitrella patens subsp. patens PHYPAscaffold_30 genomic scaffold, whole genome shotgun sequence.
UAAGAGGCUUUUAUAAAAGCCAUGUCUAGACACCUCAAAUUAUAAU